rfam:Bacillus circulans strain RIT379 contig28, whole genome shotgun sequence.
UCUAACUGUCAUUCCAAACUAUGAAAUGAGGGAACUAACCACCCCGAAGCAUAGUCACUAAGACUCCUACAUGCGUCAACUCCCUCCGAAGGAUUUGAGGUGUGAAGCUAGGUAAAGUCGAUUGAAGUUGGUCCCAAUGCUGUUAUAUGUAAUGGUUCAACGAUAAAUCGGGUGUCUAUAAA